rnacentral:rRNA from 1 species
AUUGAACGCUAGCGGGAUGCUUUACACAUGCAAGUCGAACGAGUGGCGGACGGGUGAGUAAUAUAUCUGAACUUGCCCAGUAGCGGGGGUUAACUACUCGAAAGAGUGGCUAAUACCGCAUACUAUUGGAGCGGCGGAAAACGGAUUAGCUAGUUGGGGGGGUAAAGGCUCACCAAGGCAACGAUCCGUAGCUGGUUUGAGAGGAAGACCAGCCACACUGGGACGGAGACACGGACCAGACUCCUACGGGAGGCAGCAGUGGGGAAUUGUGGACAAUGGGCGAAAGCCUGAUCGAGCCAUCCCGCGUGUGUGAGAAGGCCUUCGGAUUGUAAAGUACUUUUGGCAGAGAAGCGGUAUCUACAGAGAAAGCACCGGCUAACUACGUGCCAGCAGCCGCGGUAAUUC